CCUACGGGGUGCAGCAGUGGGGAAUAUUGCACAAUGGGGGAAACCCUGAUGCAGCGACGCCGCGUGAGUGAAGAAGUAUUUCGGUACGUAAAGCUCUAUCAGCAGGGAAGAAAAUGACGGUACCUGACUAAGAAGCCCCGGCUAACUACGUGCCAGCAGCCGCGGUAAUACGUAGGGGGCAAGCGUUAUCCGGAUUUACUGGGUGUAAAGGGAGCGUAGACGGCAGCGCAAGUCUGGAGUGAAAUCCCAUGGCUUAACCAUGGAACUGCUUUGGAAACUGUGCAGCUAGAGUGCAGGAGAGGUAAGCGGAAUGCCUAGUGUAGCGGUGAAAUGCGUAGAUAUUAGGAGGAACACCAGUGGCGAAGGCGGCUUACUGGACUGUAACUGACGUUGAGGCUCGAAAGCGUGGGGAGCAAACAGGAUUAGAUACCCGGGUAGUC
rnacentral:rRNA from 1 species